GAUGAAGAACGCAGCGAAAUGCGAUAAGUAGUGUGAAUUGCAGAAUUCAGUGAAUCAUCGAAUCUUUGAACGCACAUUGCGCCCCUUGGUAUUCCAUGGGGCAUGCCUGUUCGAGCGUCAUUUGUACCUUCAAGCUUUGCUUGGUGUUGAGUGUUUGUCUCGCCUUUGCGUGUAGACUCGCCUUAAAAUAAUUGGCAGCCGGCGUAUUGAUUUCGGAGCGCAGUACAUCUCGCGCUUUGCACUCAUAACGACAGCGUCCAAAAGUACAUUUUACACUCUUGACCUCGGAUCAGGUAGGGAUACCCGCUGAACUUAAGCAUAUCAAUAAGCGGAGGA
rnacentral:misc_RNA from 1 species